AAUUUUACUUAACAUUAUUUUAUUUAUCCGUCAUAUUGAAGAUAACUUUUUGAAGGAUAUUGUUGUUUUUGUUAUUUUAUGU